rnacentral:rRNA from 1 species
CCUACGGGAGGCAGCAGUGAGGAAUAUUGGUCAAUGGCCGGGAGGCUGAACCAGCCAAGUCGCGUGAGGGAAGACGGCCCUACGGGUUGUAAACCUCUUUUGUCAGGGAGCAAGGUGCAGGUCGGGACCUGCUGUGAGAGUACCUGAAGAAAAAGCAUCGGCUAACUCCGUGCCAGCAGCCGCGGUACUACGGGGGAUGCGAGCGUUAUCCGGUUUUAUUGGGUUUAAAGGGUGCGCAGGCGGAGGCACAAGUCAGCGGUAAAAUCGCGGGGCUCAACCCCGCUCCGCCGUUGAAACUGUUGCCCUUGAGUGCGCGAAGGGUAGGCGGAAUGCGUGGUGUAGCGGUGAAAUGCAUAGAUAUCACGCAGAACUCCGAUCGCGAAGGCAGCCUACCGGCGCGCAACUGACGCUCAUGCACGAAAGCGUGGGUAUCGAACAGGAUUAGAUACCCUAGUAGUC